UCGAUCUGCUUAGUAGCUGGGAGUUUUUUGAGGUUACUUAAUUACCCCAAAAUCCUGUCUGUAGGGCUGGACUGAGAGGGUCCAGUAUUGGAAUAAUGAGGGGGUUUGGAUCUAGAUGAUACAACAGGUGGAUGUCGAAGAAGUCCUGAUGAGCAGAAGAGAAGGACCAACUUAUUUCUCCUCCCAGAAGCUUCUCACCACACUUCCUGGUCGUGAGGACUGUUGCCCCUUCAGGGAGAACCCAGAGCAGCUGAUCCCCAUGGAGAUGAGGAAUCAAGAGCUGAGCUUCCAUCCCUAAGGGAAGGUGAUGGGGGCAUGACUAGGGGUUACUGCCGGAGGAGGGCAAGGUGUAGAGAGGGGUGUGUUACUCUCAGUACUGUGGCUGGUUCUACCCACUGGGGCUAAGGGUCUGCAUAGGGAACUGGUUCUGUGACUUGACUGUGGGACUGAGAAAACCCAGGGUCCUUAAUUCUAUAGAAGGGUCAUUUCUCCCUGAACCCACAGUCCUGUCCACAGGGUCACCCUGCAAAUCCUCAGCUCCUCUAGGGGUGGAACUCCUCUGUGCU